CCGAGUGCCAGCAUCAUAUGCUGGCUGUCCAGGUGUGUAAAAUACACCUGUUAGCAAGGGCCGGGCAAGACCGGUGCCAGCCGCCGCGGUAACACCGGCGGCCCGAGUGGUGAUCGUGAUUAUUGGGUCUAAAGGGUCCGUAGCCGGUUUGGUCAGUCCUCCGGGAAAUCUGACGGCUCAACCGUUAGGCUUUCGGGGGAUACUGCCAGGCUUGGAACCGGGAGAGGUAAGAGGUACUACAGGGGUAGGAGUGAAAUCUUGUAAUCCCUGUGGGACCACCUGUGGCGAAGGCGUCUUACCAGAACGGGUUCGACGGUGAGGGACGAAAGCUGGGGGCACGAACCGGAUUAGAUACCCGGGUAGUCCCAGCCGUAAACGAUGCUCGCUAGGUGUCAGGCAUGGCGCGACCGUGUCUGGUGCCGCAGGGAAGCCGUGAAGCGAGCCACCUGGGAAGUACGGCCGCAAGGCUGAAACUUAA
rnacentral:rRNA from 1 species